UUGCACAAAUUCAUCAUGCUCUAGGAGACAGUAAACUAUUCCAUUUGGCUUAGUAUUGCUGUGGGGCUUAGAGGAAUGUUGUGGCGUUGAGAUUACUGUAUAGAGUUAGGUAUCUAAUAAUGUUAACACAUGGUGAGGAUCAUCCUGAAAUGUCUAAUGUUGAUUUUUACAUUGGUUUACUACUGAGUAAUGCUGGUCAUUAUGAAGAAAGUCAGGCAUAUCUGGAAAGUGCUCUUAGAUUACAAAACAAGUUUCAUGGAAGUCAAUCAAUUACUGUAGCCACAAUUCAUCAUCUUCUUGCCAACUCAUUGACUCACAUUGCAGCAUUUGCUGAAGCUAAGCAAAAUAAGAGAAAAGCAUACAAUAUCUAUAGGACUAAAUUUGGCCCAGAUCAUGCAUGUACUGUUCAGUCUUAUAAAAAACGUGAGGUAUAUCACUGAAAAGCAAGUCUCUUAUGACCAGACUGUUGCCUAAAUUUCCUUGCCAGUUUUUUGAAUGUUACAUCAUCUAAUCGUUUAGCAGUGCAGAGUCAUCAUUAACUGAGAAGCAACUGAUGGUGAUACUAGAGCUGUAAGAAGAGGAACAGCUACACGUAAUAAUGCAGUGAUAGCCGUUACAGUUGAUGGCACAUUAAAGGUCUUCCAGUCCAUUCUCAUUGACUUAAUUGCAGACUUCUUACUAGCUCUUGUUGUUCACAGAGACUCGUGGCAGAUAUAUGAUGCUAUUGUAAUUCAUCCUUGUGAGCCAGGAGUAACUGAAUGGAUUAAUGUCGACAACCUAAAAUGGUGCGUCUUGUAGUGACGGACCAGUUCCUGAUCUUUGUUGGACGGGACAGGGUCGCCACUCCCUUGUAUUUCGGG